CUGUAUCAACACUGCCUCUGGCACCUUCCCAAGGCCUGGCAGACGUUGACACCGUUCAGCUGAAGUGGUUGAAGGUCAGCUCUCUUCUGUUCUUCCUGCUUUUCUUCAAAUAGAGAAGCUGGAAUUCAUAGCACAAGGAAGCCAGGGAGAUAAUGCAAAUGACUCCCAUGCAGAUUAACCAGGACCUUAGGCUCCAGGGCGAGGCCUCCAGUUCUUUGCAUUUCACUCUUAGCGAUACAAAAAGGAACUCAUCCAAAUGAAGAGGUCUCUUCUCUGGGACAAAUGUGGUGUUUUGCUGAAGAAGAGAAGCAGGAUUAGUCACAUGGCUAAGGCACCAUGACACUAACCAGAGCUCAUCUGCUCUAGCCAGGACUUGACUGGAAGCUAUUUCUCUGCAAAGCUGGAAGUCGUUGACAGGAGUUGGUCAUGUAUUAUCUGGUAUCCUGAGACAACUGUAUACUGUCUUCAAACUGUUUC